rnacentral:rRNA from 1 species
UACGUAGGUCCCGAGCGUUGUCCGGAUUUAUUGGGCGUAAAGCGAGCGCAGGUGGUUUAAUAAGUCUGAUGUAAAAGGCAGUGGCUCAACCAUUGUGUGCAUUGGAAACUGUUAGACUUGAGUGCAGUAGAGGAGAGUGGAAUUCCAUGUGUAGCGGUGAAAUGCGUAGAUAUAUGGAGGAACACCGGUGGCGAAAGCGGCUCUCUGGACUGUAACUGACACUGAGGCUCGAAAGCGUGGGUAGCAAACGGG